rnacentral:lncRNA from 1 species
UGAAUCCAUCGGUAGCGGAGACCCACCUAGAGGCCUCAACCUGGCUUUUGUUUGGUUGUUUUUAACUUCUGUCAUUCUCCCUUCGUCUCUUAGGAAUGCGUCCUUGACCGGAGAGGUCGGAAAGCUGGCCGGUUCUAGGUGACAUUCCUGCAUCCGGUCAUUUUUGCAGACAGCGGGAGUCAGAGCUUAUUGGCCUGAGUGUCCCGCUGACGCCCCUCCUCUGGCGUCUCUGGGCCUCUUCCGCUCUGUUACGGGGUCAGGGGAAGCCGAAACGGGCAGUCACCCAGAAGGCGCCCGCUGAAACCCGCCCAUUCUUCCCAGGCCCCGAGAAAACGCCGCCCCCUCCGGGAAGUCCUCGAGCCUGCAGGAGACAUCUAGCCCGCUGUCCAGGGCACCUUUUUUUUUCUCCCUAUAUUUCGGUUGCUCGCGUCUCUUGGUGUGGUUUGCCCACGUCUGCAGCGCCAGGUUCGUGGAGAGCAGGAACCAUGCUGUUUAUUUUCGUCGCCGCAGCCUUCAGCUCAGCGAGGAGCCACCCCUCCUCCGUCUGUUCACUGCGCGCGCCUUUGCUGAGCUGUGAUGCGGGUUGGCGCUCAGUGCAAGGGGCAGAGGCCGCAGUGAGGAAUCCUCCUUUUUUAAAAGCUCCAUCCAGGGAGCGGGAGCAGAGAGAGAAUCCCGGCACCCCGGGGCUUUGCUCUGAGCGAGAGAAUUCUGGUCUUAGGGGAACGGGCUGGGCCCCACCACUCACAUGAGCAGGACUCUGGUCCCCACUUGUUCCUUCGGGGCCCACUCGGGUUGGGCAGAGGGGUUGACCAGGCUGAGGAGAGGGUGUUUGCUGAAAUAGUAAGAGGGUUUAAGACGAAAGAACCGUGAUAAACUGCUCGCAUGAAGACCCCGGAGGCUCUGAGAGGGGCGCAGGGUGUUCUGUGUGUAAAAAGUUAAGUCUUAAGAUACACACUGGAAUAUUCUCUUUUGCCUGGACUCCUGCAUUCGCCUUAUAACUGGUCUCCCUGCGUCCACUCCAGCUCCCAGAGCCUCUUCCCACUCAGCACCCCCAGGGGUCUUUAACCCUUUCAGUGGCUCCCACUGUACUCAGCGUAACGCUUCUGCUCCCCACUGUGGCUUGUGAGCUCCUGCAGGGACCCAGCCCCAUGCCUCUCCCCACGCCCCGGAGGGACAGCCUGGGCCUCCUCUUGGGCGCCUGUCCCACCAGCCCCUCUGCCGUCUCCAGGUCCUCGCACUUGCUGUUCCCUAGAAUGCUUUUCCCCCACAUGCCCCCUUUACUCUCACCCGCAGUCCACCUGGAGAGGCCCCCUCUAGCGGACACACCCUCGGGGCCGACCUCCAGUCCCCUUCUGGCGGGCUUUCUUGUUUUCUUCCUCCACAACACUUUUCUUGAACUGCCCCUUUUCCAUUACUUCAGUUAUUUAUCAUCUGUCUCCCCACCAGAAGGACUCUCCCAAGGCCAGGGAGCCUGGCUGUUUAAUAAGUCCACGUAGGUGAACGAGCGAAUCGAAGGUAUCCACCAGCCUCCCUGCUUGAACAUCCCGUGAGCACCUCUAAUUGUGUCCUUAAAAAAACUGAACUCAGGGCCGGGCGCGGUGGCUCACGCCUGUAAUCCCAGCACUUUGGGAGGCCGAGGCGGGCGGAUCACCUGAGGUCAGGAGUUGAAGACCAGCCCGGCCAACAUGAUGAAACCCCGUCUCUUCUAAAAAUACAAAAAUUAGCCUGGCACGGUGGCAGGCGCCUGUAAUCCCAGCUACUCAGGAGACUAAGGCAGGAGAAUCGCUUGAACCCAGGAGGCAGAGAUUGCAGUGAGCCGAGAUCGCACCACUGCACUCCAGCCUGGGCGUCAGAGACUCAGUCUCAAAAAAACAAACAAAAAACUGAACUCGGAUUCCAGCCAAAUCUGGAUUUCUCACCUCCGUGAAGGGUACAACUGGAGACCCUGUUCCUUGAUCUAGAAACCUGAGCGUCACCUUUACCUCCUCCCUUUCGCACAGUUGCUGUCUUCCGCCAAUUACAUGCCCUUCUUCCUUCUCAGUUCCUCUCAAACUCUUAUGUCACCCACGCCAGCCCUUGUCCUGGCCACCACCUGCUCACCUGAAUUGUUGCCACUGCCUCCCAACAGGUCUCCCUCCCUCCAGCCAGACGCCCUACAAUCUGCCCUCACCUCACUGCCAGAAUGAUCUUCUGGAAGCAGAGGUGGAGCUGAACCUGUAUUCAAGCCGUCAGUUGGAAUCCAAACAGUUAUAGGACUGACUUCAGGCUCCAUGGCCAGGAACCCAUGAGUCUUUGUAGCCAGGCUCCAGCCAGCACUUCCUGCAUCAUUUCUGACCAGUUUCCCAAAUUGCUUUCCCUGCUGCCUUCCUGCCCCCACUGACCCAAUACAGAACCCUGUACUCUCAAGGUCACGCCACUCUCUUCUGUUUCUAGACAGCAUUCCUUCUGCGUGGAACAUGCCAACCCUCGUCUGCUUUGACUUUGCAAAACUGCAUGAGACCGCCGGGCGCGGUGGCUCACGCCUGUAAUCCCAGCACUUCAAGAGGCCGAGGCAGACAGAUCACCUGAGGUCAGGAGUUUGAGGCCAGCCUGGCCAGCAUGGUGAAACCCCGUCUCUACUAAAAAUACAAAAAAUCAGCCAGUAAUCCUAGCUACUCGGGAGGCUGAGGCAGGAGAAUCGCUUGAACCCAGGAAGCAGAGGUUGCAGUGAGCCGAGGUCAUGCCAUUGCACUCCAGCCUGGGCUACAAGAGUGAAACUCCGUCUCAAAAAAGAAAAAAAAAAAGAAAAAAAGACUGCAUAUGACUCCCCAGUGAAGCCCUCCCUGAUUGGCCUCUGCAGAAGGCAGCAUGCCCGGGCUUUGGAGUCAGACCUGCAUACAAAUCCUUGUUUUGCCGGUGUGACCUUGCCAAGUCUUCUUUCCUGCAGGACAGAAGGCGGCAGCAGCUCUCCCUGAACUGGCACUCUGGCUUCUCUUGCCCCAGGGUCUGUUUCUGCUCCUUGGACAGCAGGCGCAUGUGGGAACUGUGCCCUCUUCAGCCAUGAGCCCCUGUUCUGCGCACAUCUAGCCCAUCUUCCAGAUGGACAGACAGUCUGUGGUCGUCGCCAAACCCCUGAAUCUGGCCCUGCCCGCAGUCAGAGGGAUGGCAAUUUGUAAGCUACAGACUAUUGCGAAUCAUUCACUUGGAGACUGAACUAAGACUACUGGCACCAGGCUCCGUAGACCCUCGGGAAGAGCAUGGUCUGGCAGGCAGACUGGAUGUGGCCACAGAUAACAUCCCCUAAGGGGAGAGCGUGAGCCUGCAGGCCAGAAUGCCACCACUUUCUCCUGUGUCGUUCCAGAGAGAGCCUGUGGCUAUGCACGCUUGCUGCUACAGAGGGUAGUGCUGUAUACCUCCUGGGCUCACUUACUGACUUUUCAGUCUAAGGGCUUAUUGCAAUUGGUACAUAACGAUCAUACUUUGUAAUGGUUAAGUAAUAUUCCAUCAUAUGGAUGUGUUGUUUAUUUAACAUUCUGGUUGAAUAACCAAGACUUUUAGGUUUCCAGUUUUCCAGGAACAUCAUGCCCCUCCAUCAUUUGCCCACCUGGAAGGAUAACUACAGGAUAAGCAGCUCUUAGAACUGGAAUUGCUGAGUUAACUGCUCUGUGCAUUUCCUUGCUUUUUCUUGCUUUUCUUUUCUUUCUUUUAUUAUUUUUUUGGGUAAAUUUUUAUUGAACUAUAGCAUAGCGUAGAUACAGGAAAGUGUAAAAACUUAAAUGUACAAUUCAAUGAAUUUUCGCUAGGCAAACACUGUGUCACCAGCACCCAGAUUUAGAAACAGAAUAUUACCAGAAUCCCAAAAGCCCCAUGAGCUGCCGUCCAGUCACUACUUACCGUUUCCCUGAUCCCCUGCAUAGGAUAAUCCUUAUCAUGGCUUCUGACACUUUCGGUUGGUUUUGGAUGUACUGACACUUUUUGUGUGUGUGUGACACUUUUAUAAUACAAAGAAAAUCAUACAGUA